ACUUUCCCGGUCAUACCAGGGGUGUGUGUGUAGGGGUAGGGGGGUGGGGCUCCAAAGGCACCCGGCCUUGUCAGGAGCCGGUUCAGAGGGUAAAUGAUCACACGGGCUGCUUAGGGUGACUGUGUGGGCAUCGCCUCUGAAGGCCACCAACCUGAAGGACCCGAGCACUGUGAAUCUGGAGAAACUGCAGCCCCCAGGCCAUCUGAGGCUAGGGAAGCCCUUGAGUGUCAAGUCAUCCCCUCCCCCACACCACCCACACCUGUGGAGCCCGCUGGAUCCCAGGAGAAAUGUCCCAAGAGCCACCCUUUGCUUCUGAGGGGAGUGUGAGGCCAGCGACCUGGCUUGGAGGGGGGUGAGGAUGUGCAUUUGAGCCUGAGAUGACCGGGCAUCUGAGUUAAUCUGAGUGCUGAUUAACAGACCCUGGGCAAAGUCCCUCUGGGGAGACUGCGGAGAGGGGGCAGCUGCUGUGGGGGUGCAGCUGGAAGAGCACGGGGGAAGUUGCCACCUGGGGCUCAAGUAAUACUUGGGAACACACCGGAGGGUGCGUCAGAGACCCUUGGGUCCGACCCGCUCUUGUUACAGAUGAGGAAACCGAGGCACGAGUUUCCACAGCAACUCACUGAAGGAACCAGAGGAGAAGCUCUCGAUACACAAGUCUGGACUCGUUUGAGGUUCUCCACAAGCCUGCGACUCCCCUGUUACCGCCAUCAUUUCUCAGUCCGGGGAACAGAGGUUCAGAGAGGUAGCCAGACCCAGGUCACACAGCUGUAGGCUUUACACCCAAUGUGGGGCUUGAACUCACAAUCCUGAGAUCAAGAGUUGCACGCUCCACGGGCUGAGUCGACCCGGCGUCCCUAACUGUACUUAAAUUGGAAAAAAAAAGAAAGAAAGAAAGAAGAAAAAGUUCAAUGCUGCAAGAAUAACUGGCCUACGGUCUGACUGAGAAGGAGCCCUCCAGGUGAGGAAGGGAGAAGAGAAAAUCAGGCAGAAGGAACAGCAAGUACAAUGGCUCAGAGGCUUGGAAAUGAGCUCCAAGAAUUCGAGAAUCAGAAAGAAGGCCAGCGCAGCAGGAUUUAAGGGGAUGAGGGAAGGUGUCAUCAGAUGCUGCCGAAAAGAUAAGUGUCUGUGUGUUGUAGACUGUAAGGAGCUUGGUACCCCCUCCUCCAGGAAGCCCUCUUUGACUGCCUCAAGUGCCUCCCCUCCUAACCCUGUUCACUCUAGGGUUGUCACUCUCUAGUCACUGGCCCAACUCCUGCAAUGCCCUGUGAGGACAGGGCCGGCCGGUCACCACUGUGUCCCCAACACUGCCCAGCACAUGGCCGGGUACACAGCAGAUACUUGGUACAUGCCUUAGAAAGCUCUUCUUCUCUGCCUCCCUGACUCCCCUCAGCCUCACCCCUUCCUGACUCUGCCCUGCAUUCCUGAGCUCUCCAUAUGGCUACUUUCUUUCAUCCCAUCCUCAAAAGCUCCGCUGGGGAGGAUUCCCAGCUCCAGUCCCUCUCAUGCUGCAGGCCCAGAGGUGAAGGCUCUGAAGUGGUCAGAUCAAACACUUCCAGGGCUGGGCUUGGGCCGGGCCAGCGUGGGGAGGCUCAGAGGAGAGGGAGGUUCCCAGGCGUGGGUGUUCCGAGGGAGGAGAAGGAAGGGGGGAUGGGCAGGGCACGCCUCCAUCAUCAUGACAUGACUGUCAGUUGCUCAUUCAUUUUGUGCCAGAUGCUGGGCUAAUCUUUUUUUAUUUUUUAUUUUUUAAUUUAUUUGACAGAUAGACAGCAAGAGAGGGAACACAAGCAGGGGGAGGGGGAGAGGGAGAAGCAGGCUUCCUGCAGAGCGGGGAGCCCAACAUGGGGCUCCAUCCCAGGACCCUGGGAUCAUGACCGGAGCUAAAGACAGACACUUAACAAUUGAGCCACCCAGGCGCCCCAGGCUAAUCUUUAAAAAUAAUGUAAUGUACUGGGGCACCUGGGUGGCUCAGUGGGUUAAAGCCUCCGCCUUAGGCUCAGGUCAUGAUCCCAGGGUCCUGGGAUCCAGCCCCGCACUGGGCUCUCUGCUCGGCGAGGAGCCUGCUUCCUCCUCUCUCUCUGCCUGCCUCUCUGCCUAUUUGUGAUCUCUGUCUGUCAAAUAAAUAAAAUCUUAAAACUAAUAAUAAUAAUAAUAAUACAAUGUAUUAAUUUAAGUGGGUAAGAUGUAGUCAGAAUGCAUGAAUCAGAAGACUCAAAAGGCCUGUAGGGAAAAUAAGUAUUUCUAUUUUGCAGUUUUGUUUUUACAGAUUUAUUUAUUUGAGAGUGGGGGAAAGGCAGAGGGAGGGAGAGAGAAUCUCAAGCAGAUUCCCUGCUGAGUGCGGAGCCCAGUGGGGGACUCGAUCUCAUGACCCUGAGAUCAUAACCUGAGCUGCAAUCAAGUGUCAGACUCUUAACCAACUGAGCCACCCAGAUGCCCCUCUAUUUUACAAUUUUCAAAGGGUUGAAGACAGCACCUGUCAUGUUGGGUGUGGGUAGCUCCCAUUUUUAAACAAUGUGUUUCUGCUACCCACCCAGUUCCUCCUCCUGAAGGCAGCUCUUAUUACCAGUUUCACUUGAGAUAUUUGUUUUUUUAAAGAUUUUAUUUAUUUAUUUGACAGACAGAGAUCACAAGCAGGCAGAGAGGCAGGCAGAGGGUUGGGGGGGAAGCAGGCUCCUUGCUGAGCAGAAGCCCGAUGUGGGGCUCCAUCCCAGGACCCUGGGACCAUGACCUGAGCCGAAGGCAGAGGCUUUAACCCACUGAGCCACCCAGGCGCCGCUCACUUGAGAUACUUGUUUAAAAAAAAUAUUCACUAGGCACCUACUAUGUGCCAGGCAUGGUUGUAAGGACUAAGGCUAUAAGGGUGAGUGACAGAGGGGGCUGGAGAGACUCAGUAUGUUUUAUAGGAAGGUCAAAGAAGAUCAAACAGCUGUCUUGUGUGCUGGUAGACACAAGAGUCCUAGGUGUCAGAGGAGUCCUAGGUGUCAGAGGAGAAACAGAGGAGAGAGAUGAGAAUGGCUAGAAUGUUGUCCAUCCUGAGGCAAGACCGGAAGGUCUCCAGGCUUAAGAGUGUAGCCCAUCACCAGCAAGAAAGGUGUGUUUUCCCAUGCAGCCACAACAAUCUCUCCCAUCCUGUAUGCUCUCACAGUGUGACCUUGACGUUCCUCCCACUGAGUGUGUUCUCUGCAAGGGUGUGUUCCCUCCCCCUUGAACCUGGGCGAAACCUUGCGGCUAUGUGAACCCAUGAAGCACAGAGGAGGGGAGGCUGCCAAGGCUCAUGGUCAAGUGCCAGGCACUUCCCACCUGCUUUUAGGGCAUUCGCUCUUGGAACCCAGCCACCAUGGUCUGAGGCAGGCCAAGUAGCCCACCCAGAGAGGUCCCAUGAAGGUACUCUGGCUGAGGUCCCAGCCAGCAACUGCCACCACCAGCUGCUAAACAGGAGUGACAACUCCUCCAGCUGAUUCCAGCUACUAGAUGGGAGUCGCACCCCUCCCCGCUCCCCCACAGAGGCUCCCAUUCUGCAACUCUCACCAGUGGAGGCCCCAGACAUCAGGGAGCAGAGACAAGCUGUCCUUGCUGUGCUUCAUUCAAAUGCCUGCCCUACAGAAUCCAUGGAAUACAGGGGUGUUGAACGGUGCUAAGCUUGGGGGUUGUUGGUUACGCAGCAGUGGUGGAUAACUGGUAUACCAAGGAAUAGGAGGAAAGAGGUAGAUGGUAGUAGGAGUCUGCAGAAGUUUUCUUCUAGUGGGUUCUCUUCUCUCAGUGACAUAGGAAGAAAAGUCCCCGUUGAGAGUAGGCAAGAAGGGAGGAGAGGUAGGAGUUUGCAUUGUCUAGGAAACAGCUCGAGUCCAUCCACGAAUGAACGCAUAAACCAAUUGUGGUAUAUCCACACAAUGGAACAUUCUUCGGGCUUCAUCCUUCCAUGCCUCCAUAAAGCUGGUGUGAAUGUCCCAGGGGAUGCUCUCAGAGUCCAGGAGCAUGAAGAGUGUCAUCAGGAGAGGCACCUGCCAAGUUCUUAUUAGGCCAUGCUCCAGAGUCAUUUUCCAGUUUCUAAUUGCGAUGAUGAAGCUUGAUUACACGGAAAUCACUGGUGAUCAUGGAGCUGCGGAAAUUGCUGCAAAACUUACAGACCCAUCUCAUUAGUUUGGUUUCAUCGCACUGAUAACCGCAGCUGGCAUCGCGGACCCAAAGGAAGUAGAACAAAAACACGCAGGAAGGAAGAUUCUGGCAGCUUUUUCCUAGACAUGGAAUACUUACAUACAAAUAAAAUACCUCAAUGGGGGAAAAAAUGAAAUGAAAUUCUGACCCACACUAUGACAUGGAGGAACCUGGAAAACAUUAUGCUAAGUGAAAGAAGUGAGACACAGAGGAUAAAUAUUGUAGGGUCCCAUGUCUAUGAGCUAUCCAGAACAGACAAAUCAGUAGAGACCAAAAGAUAGUGGGGAUAGUUGCAUAACAUGCUGAACGUGCUUAAAGACUGAAUUGGGGGCGCCUGGGUGGUUCAGUGGGUUGGGCCUCUGCCUUUGGCUCAGGUCAUGAUCUCAGGGUCCUGGGAUCAAGCCCUGCAUUGGGCUCUCUGCUCAGCGAGGAGCCUACUACCUCCUCUCUCUGACUUCUUGUGAUCUCUGUCAAGUAAAUAAAUAAAAUCUUAAAAAAAAAAAAAAAGACUGAAUUU